AGAACGAACGCUGGCGGCGUGGAUAAGACAUGCAAGUCGAACGGGAUAUCCUUUGUAGCAAUACAGGGGAUGUUCAGUGGCGUAAGGGUGCGUAACACGUGGGCAAUCUGCCGAUUGAAGUGGAGGAUAGCUCGCCGAAAGGCGAAUUAAUACCGCAUGUGGGUUAAGGGAGGAUUCUCUCUGACACCAAAGCCGGGGACCAUAGCAAUAUGGCCUGGCGCUUCUGAUGACGCCCGCGGCCUAUCCAGCUUGUUGGUGUGGGUAACGCCCACAAGGCGAUGACGGUAGCUGGUCUGAGAGGACGACAGCCACACGUAGGAACUGAGACCACGGGUCCAAGACACCGUAGGGUGCAGCAGUCGAGUAACUUUUCACGAAGUCGGGGACAACCGUGGAAGGACGCGACGCCG
rnacentral:rRNA from 1 species